rnacentral:lncRNA from 1 species
CUUACACCCAAAAGGAAGAUCACUUCCUCUAUUUCUCAUGCACAGAAGCCCAACCCACUCUCAGCUUUUUAUGCCCCAACUCUGAGGUUUCUCAUACCAAAAAUCACUCUUUUGGUCACACAAAAUUGAUCCCAUCUUAAGGAUGGCAUCCCGUGGAAGAUAAGGAUAAAGAAGAGGUAGUUUUGGUUCAAUUUUAAAUGUUGGUUGAUCCUUAUCACU